AAAUUGAAGAGUUUGAUCAUGGCUCAGAUUGAACGCUGGCGGCAGGCCUAACACAUGCAAGUCGAACGGUAACAGGAAGAAGCUUGCUUCUUUGCUGACGAGUGGCGGACGGGUGAGUAAUGUCUGGGAAACUGCCUGAUGGAGGGGGAUAACUACUGGAAACGGUAGCUAAUACCGCAUAACGUCGCAAGACCAAAGAGGGGGACCUUCGGGCCUCUUGCCAUCGGAUGUGCCCAGAUGGGAUUAGCUAGUAGGUGGGGUAACGGCUCACCUAGGCGACGAUCCCUAGCUGGUCUGAGAGGAUGACCAGCCACACUGGAACUGAGACACGGUCCAGACUCCUACGGGAGGCAGCAGUGGGGAAUAUUGCACAAUGGGCGCAAGCCUGAUGCAGCCAUGCCGCGUGUAUGAAGAAG
rnacentral:rRNA from 1 species